rnacentral:rRNA from 1 species
GACGAACCGUGCGAACGUUGUUCGGAAUCACUGGGCUUAAAGGGCGCGUAGGCGGGUGACCAAGUCCGGGGUGAAAUCUUUCGGCUUAACCGGAAAAGUGCCUUGGAUACUGGUCGCCUGGAGGGAGGUAGGGGCAUGUGGAACUUCCGGUGGAGCGGUGAAAUGCGUUGAUAUCGGAAGGAACGCCGGUGGCGAAAGCGACGUGCUGGCCCUCUUCUGACGCUGAGGCGCGAAAGCCAGGGGAGCAAACGGG